rnacentral:tRNA from 5 species
GCGCCUGUAGCUCAACUGGAUAGAGUAUCAGAUUCCGAUUCUGGCGGUUGCAGGUUCGAGCCCUGUCAGGCGCGCCA